CAGCCGCCGCGGUAAUACGGAGGGGGCUAGCGUUGUUCGGAAUUACUGGGCGUAAAGCGUACGUAGGCGGCUUUGUAAGUUAGAGGUGAAAGCCUGGUGCUCAACACCAGAACUGCCUUUAAGACUGCAUCGCUUGAACGUCGGAGAGGUGAGUGGAAUUCCGAGUGUAGAGGUGAAAUUCGUAGAUAUUCGGAAGAACACCAGUGGCGAAGGCGGCUCACUGGACGACUGUUGACGCUGAGGUACGAAAGCGUGGGGAGCAAACAGGAUUAGAUACCCCGGUAGUCCCUGUCUCUUAUAC
rnacentral:rRNA from 1 species